rnacentral:rRNA from 1 species
GACGGAGGAUGGCAAGUGUUAUCCGGAAUCACUGGGCGUAAAGCGUCUGUAGGUGGUUUAAUAAGUCAACUGUUAAAUCUUGAGGCUCAACCUCAAAAUCGCAGUCGAAACUAUUAGGCUAGAGUAUAGUAGGGGUAAAGGGAAUUUCCAGUGGAGCGGUGAAAUGCGUAGAGAUUGGAAAGAACACCGAUGGCGAAGGCACCUUACUGGGCUAUUACUAACACUCAGAGACGAAAGCUAGGGUAGCAAAUGGG